UAACUACGUGCCAGCAGCCGCGGUAAUACGUAGGGGGCAAGCGUUAUCCGGAAUUAUUGGGCGUAAAGGGUGCGUAGGCGGGUUAUCAAGUCUUUGGUUAAAAUGCGGUGCUCAACGCCGUAGUGCCAAAGAAACUGAUAGUCUAGAGUAUGGUAGAAGUGAGUGGAACUCCAUGUGUAGCGGUAAAAUGCGUAAAUAUAUGGAAGAACACCAGUGGCGAAGGCGGCUCACUAGGCCAAUACUGACGCUGAGACACGAAAGCGUGGGGAGCAAACAGGAUUAGAUACCCUGGUAGUCCACGCCCUAAACGAUGAGUACUAAGUGUAGCCAGAAGGCUGUGCUGAAGUUAACGCAUUAAGUACUCCGCCUGAGUAGUACGUACGCAAGUAUGAAACUUAAAGGAAUUGACGGGAUCCCGCACAAGCGGUGGAGCAUGUUGUUUAAUUCGACGAUACGCGAAGAACCUUACCAGGUCUUGACAUACUCGGCAAAUCUAUAGAGAUAUAGAGGAGGUUAACCGGGAUACAGGUGGUGCAUGGUUGUCGUCAGCUCGUGUCGUGAGAUGUUAGGUUAAGUCCUGCAACGAGCGCAACCCUUAUUGCUAGUUACCAUCAUUAAGUUGGGGACUCUAGCGAGACUGCCGGUGAUAAACCGGAGGAAGGCGGGGAUGACGUCAAAUCAUCAUGCCCUUUAUGACCUGGGCUACAAACGUGCUACAAUGGCUGACACAAAGAGAAGCGAGCUCGCGAGAGUAAGCAAACCUCAGAAAAGCAGUCUCAGUUCGGAUUGAAGUCUGCAACUCGACUUCAUGAAGUUGGAAUCGCUAGUAAUCGCGAAGCAGAGUGUCGCGGUGAAUACGUUCCCGGGCUUUGUACACACCGCCCGUCAAACCAUGAGAGUUUGUAAUACCCGAAGCCGGUGGCCGAACCGCAAGGAAGGAGCCGUCUAAGGUAGGACAGAUGAUUGGGGUUAAGUCGUAACAAGGUAUCCCUACGAGAACGUGGGGAUG
rnacentral:rRNA from 1 species